GCCGAGGUAGCUCAGGGGUAGAGCACGUUCUUGGUAAGAACGGGGUCGUGGGUUCAAAUCCCAUCCUCGGCU
rfam:Candidatus Woykebacteria bacterium RBG_16_43_9 RBG_16_scaffold_34466, whole genome shotgun sequence.